rnacentral:rRNA from 1 species
AGGAAAAGAAACCAACAGGGAUUGCCCUAGUAACGGCGAGUGAAGCGGCAACAGCUCAAAUUUGAAAUCUGGCGCAAGCCCGAGUUGUAAUUUGUAGAGGAUGCUUCUAGGUAGCGACCGGUCUAAGUUCCUUGGAACAGGACGUCAUAGAGGGUGAGAAUCCCGUAUGUGACCGGCCCGCACCUUCUACGUAGCUCCUUCGACGAGUCGAGUUGUUUGGGAAUGCAGCUCUAAAUGGGAGGUAAAUUUCUUCUAAAGCUAAAUACCGGCCAGAGACCGAUAGCGCACAAGUAGAGUGAUCGAAAGAUGAAAAGCACUUUGGAAAGAGAGUUAAAAAGCACGUGAAAUUGUUGAAAGGGAAGCGCUCACAACCAGACUUCUGGGCGGUGUUCCGCCGGUCUUCUGACCGGUCUACUCGCCGUCCCGAGGCCAACAUCAUCUGGGACCGCUGGAUAAGACCUCAGGAAUGUAGCUUCCCUCGGGAAGUGUUAUAGCCUGUGGUGAUGCAGCGCGUCUCGGGUGAGGUCCGCGCUUCGGCAAGGAUGUUGGCGUAAUGGUUGUCAGCGGCCCGUCUUGAAACACGGACCAAGGAGUCUAACAUCUAUGCGAGUGUUCGGGUGUCAAACCCCUACGCGUAAUGAAAGUGAACGGAGGUGGGAAGCGCAAGCUGCACCAUCGACCGAUCCUGAUGUCCUCGGAUGGAUUUGAGUAAGAGCAUAGCUGUUGGGACCCGAAAGAUGGUGAACUAUGCCUGAAUAGGGUGAAGCCAGAGGAAACUCUGGUGGAGGCUCGCAGCGGUUCUGACGUGCAAAUCGAUCGUCAAAUUUGGGUAUAGGGGCGAAAGACUAAUCGAACCAU